rnacentral:snRNA from 1 species
ACGGUUGGGUGACUGUAGACUCUCGGCCAAUCGGAUUGCGUAAAAGUCUACGGUCACCAUAGACUUUGCACGACUGUAGAAACAACACCUGCGAAUUCGCCAAAUGUGGGAAUCUCGACUGCAUAAUUUCUGGUAGUGGGGGACUGCGUUCGCGCUCUCCCCUG